UUACGGUCAUAUCACCAUGACACACUAGUUUUCGUCUGAUCACCAAAGUUAAGCAACGUCGAGUCUGGUCAGUACCUAGAUGGGUGACCGCUUCGGAACU